UACGUAGGGUGCGAGCGUUGUCCGGAAUUAUUGGGCGUAAAGAGCUCGUAGGCGGCUUGUCGCGUCGGAUGUGAAAGCCCGGGGCUUAACUCCGGGUCUGCAUUCGAUACGGGCAGGCUAGAGUUCGGUAGGGGAGAUCGGAAUUCCUGGUGUAGCGGUGAAAUGCGCAGAUAUCAGGAGGAACACCGGUGGCGAAGGCGGAUCUCUGGGCCGAUACUGACGCUGAGAAGCGAAAGCAUGGGGAGCGAGCAGG
rnacentral:rRNA from 1 species